GAAAUGCGAUAAGUAAUGUGAAUUCCAGAAUUCAGUGAAUCAUCGAAUCUUUGAACGCACAUUGCGCCCGCCAGUAUUCUGGCGGGCAUGCCUGUCCGAGCGUCAUUUCAACCAUCAAGCCCCCGGGCUUGUGUUGGGGACCUGCGGCUGCCCGCAGGCCCUGAAAACCAGUGGCGGGCUCGCUGUCACACCGAGCGUAGUAGCAAUCACCUCGCUCAGGGCGUGCUGCGGGUUCCGGCCGUUAAACAGCCUUACAAAACCCAAGGUUGACCUCGGAUCAGGUAGGAAGACCCGCUGAACUUAAGC
rnacentral:misc_RNA from 1 species